UUACAAUCAGAACUAAUGAUGCCAGAUUCGCAAAUAAAUAACUAUUUUGAUCUAAUCUGACAAAUGGGUUUGCAAAAAGGUCUGAAUUUGUUUACAAUUCAGUUUAAUUCACUCAUGCACAGAACUGGUUUCAGCAAUUUCUCACACUGAAAUAGUGACUGGAUACUGUAGCUGCCGUCAGAGGCAACUCUCAUAUAUUUCAGUUCAUAAUAUGCACUUUACAGUUAAAAGGUAAAUAAAUAGUUAAAAUCUUCAGAAUAAUCAUUAGAAUAAAUAAGUAAUAUAAUUUUUGUUAAAACGUGUCAAUUAAUUUAAUAUUAUUCAGCUAAAACCAUAGAAAAAGGGGGGAACCUAUUUCCUUUUUGUUCCGCUUGGGAAUUAUUUAAUUGAUGCUAUCAGGAUAUUUUUUGCGGUGCACUACAUGUAGAAGAGCCACACGAGGUGCUGCACUCGUAACAUGUCUGUAAAAGUUAUCUGGAAGAAGUGCUAAGAUGUUAUAUUGUCUUUUUGUUUAAGAAGAAGAAACUGUAACCCUCCAAGUUUAUUCCUCUUGAGUUAGAGAGGCCAAUGAGUUCUAACGGCAUUGUUGGACAUAAAGGGCUGCAAGACUAGAAUGAACAAGACAUGUUGAAGACUCGUGUCCAAAUAAAUGUCUGUUAAAACCAA